rnacentral:rRNA from 1 species
CCUACGGGUGGCAGCAGUGAGGAAUAUUGGUCAAUGGGCUUACGCCUGAACCAGCCAAGUCGCGUGAGGGAAGACUGCCCUAUGGGUUGUAAACCUCUUUUGUCAGGGAGCAACGCCGGCUACGUGUAGCCGGACUGAGAGUACCUGAAGAAAAAGCAUCGGCUACCUCCGUGCCAGCAGCCGCGGUAAUACGGAGGAUGCGAGCGUUAUCCGGAUUUAUUGGGUUUAAAGGGUGCGUAGGCGGACUGCCAAGUAAGCGGUAAAAUCGCGGGGCUCAACCUCGCUCCGCCGUUGAAACUGGCGGUCUUGAGUGGGCGAGAAGUAUGCGGAAUGCGUGGUGUAGCGGUGAAAUGCAUAGAUAUCACGCAGAACUCCGAUUGCGAAGGCAGCAUACCGGCGCCCAACUGACGCUGAAGCACGAAAGCGUGGGUAUCGAACAGGAUUAGAUACCCGAGUAGUC